CGCUUUCAUUGGUAGAGGGUGUCGUAGAUAUUCUACUCUUUUGAUCUCUAUGAGGAUUUGCGCACGAAGAGCAGAAAGAGGAGUAUAGGAGUCAUACCUGUCGUAGCUCGACCUUAGACUCCAUCAUCGAGGCGAAGCUCGCUUAUUGGAAGGUGGCCGACUUGGUUCGAUUGGAGCUUCUCCUUUCUUCUAUUUUUUCUUCUUCUGACCCUUACAUUCUAUCUGGCGUCGGUCAGAAACUCUUUUGUCCACGCACAUAUACUUGUAUGCACGCUCUAGAAGUUCAGAAUAAGUCCGGAGAAGAGUUUUGUCUAAAGAAUAUGUGAAUCGAGAUCUCCUCAAAUCUCUUUUAAUGACCGAUAUAGCCAUGUCUUCGUUGAGAUCUUUGACCUUAAGUGUGGCUGUAUUAAAAUGAGCCACAAAAUCUCUCAAUAUCUCAGUCUCUCCUUGCUUGAUUGAGAAAAGACUGUCAGAAUUUCAUAGUGGCCUUCGGCUAGUACU
rnacentral:lncRNA from 1 species